UACGUAGGCAGCAAGCGUUGUUCGGAGUUACUGGGCGUAAAGGGUGCGUAGGCGGCCUUAUAAGUAUGGUGUGAAAUCUCCCGGCUUAACUGGGAGGGUGCGCUAUAGACUGUGGGGCUAGAGUGUGGGAGAGGAAAGUGGAAUUCCUGGUGUAGCGGUGAAAUGCGUGGAUAUCAGGAGGAACACCGGUGGUGUAAACGGCUUUCUGGACCAUAACUGACGCUGAGGCACGAAAGCGUGGGUAGCAAACAGG
rnacentral:rRNA from 1 species